UACGUAGUAAAAAAUUUACUAGUUAUAUAUAACAAUGACAUGAUAAAGUUGUUCCAUUCUGUUAAAACACUCAACUUACUACAUUCACACCAUUACAGGUAAGACGAUAUAUUUUUGUGUUUGUACUGGGUCGAAUUAUUCACCCUACUGUGCGUUAAUUUUGUAGGGGUCCUGUCCUCCCGCAUAACCGUUUUGCUCUCAUGUGCACCUCGCAGAAGAGAGGGGUGAGGCAGGCAGACGGGCAAGGAGCAGCGGCGGGGCGGGGCGGGGAACCGGGCGGCGUUGCCGGUCGCAGGGAAACUCUCAGGGGGUGGUAAUUUGAUAAGGGAGAUGAGCGGGGGAGAGGAUAUUCGCGGCGGACACCCCUCUCCGGUACUGAAGUCGAGAGGCCGUUUUCCGCCGCGUCUACCGAAGGCGCCGCCGCCGACGCCGCCGCCCCUGCCCCACGAUGAGCGUCUGCAGGACCCGCGACGCUGCGGAACCGCGGCCUCCGCCGCGGGAGCGUAGCCGCCGGUGGGCGUCCUCCUUGACGAGGCAGCGCCGGCGGCAGAAACUGUUGGUCUUGGCGCUCAUGCACUAGCACCCGCCGCCCUUGCGCCGCCCGAUGCGCCGAUCCUGCAAGCAGCUCGUACCGUACCGGCUGCCGGCGGAGACGUAGCAGAGGUUUCUCCGACAAGGUGGUAUGCUCGCUGGCCGUGACUGGUUUCCGAUAGACAAAGGGGGUCUUUUUUUCGGCCGUGCGGAUGGACCUAAGGUAUGGACACAACCUAGACCACCGGUCUCCGUCUGACGGCUUACCAUGUUCCUCUUACCGUAUCUCCACGACAUACUCCUAGGUCAACUUCGUAAACUACCGUUUUGUGUCUGGAACUUUUGAAGUAGUCCCUUUUAAGACUUCAUACCCAGUGAAUAGUAAAGAUGACCAACACGUCGACGUUCUGAUGGACUCUUUUAACCUCCUCUGAAUGGACCUCAAGUGAUAUAUGCACUACAACGACUACGACUAAGAGAUCAUAGAAGUAACCCUUUUCGUUUCUUUUAACAACAAUAACCACCCCCGAUAUAACCGUACCUCCACCGACGACGUCGAACACCGACCUUAGAACUGUGUUGAUAUUAUAAGGGUCUUCUAGUGUAUUACGGUUCUAACAAAUGCGGAAGGGAACGAUUCUUCAUACUCCUUGACAUACUCGUUUUACCGCAGUUUAAGCAUUUCCCUCGAGAAUAACUGUUUGAACUACGACCGAGACUACCUUCCCACAGAAGUCGAUAUGAAUUUCUACCAAGACAACAACUUCGACUAUGUCAAUAACAACCAUAUCCUCGUUUUGGUAGACAGUCGGGGAAGCUUCGACACCCUCAAUUGUAGCUUCAACCACCUUAUCUCCAACUAAGGUACAAAUCUUGUUCAUAUGGAUCGUAGAAACGAUAACCUCUACACCGUCGAAAAGGCGAGUUCUACAUACUAUCUUAUCGAGCUCACCUCGUACACCUAGUACGGUCUUUCAGACGUGUUGUAACAUAUCUUUGUGAGAAUUGUAGGGUCCGUUUUCGCAUACUGAUGGAAGGCAUAAAGAUAAGAGCUCAAAAACUCAUACUUCCUUCGAGGUCCUUUUAAACCACCGUUAAGAUGCCUCUAUUGCAACCACUUUGUUAACUUCAUCCCUUGAAACUAGGAUUCUAACGAUGGAAGACCUAACUGAGACUAUCAGCUAACUUCCCACAAAAGGAACUCUCACCUUGGAGUCUCCUUAAGAGCGAAGAAGGUUUCGAGCGCUCUAGUGUCGGGUAACAGCUGUUUCGAUUCGAGUUCUCACGUUGAAGUCAACUUCUACGUAAUCUCUAACGCUCUUCGAGAGAAAUCAGACCGAGAAGACAAAUUGAUCAACAGUUGUGUAUACCGGAGAAGUCAAACCCUGACGUCGAACAAAACUUUUCAGUCCUGAUACUACUGUUAUUACGCCGGUAUCAUAGGCAAGAUACGCCCCAAACUUGUCACCCACCAUACUUGAUAUCAAACUUCAAAUUUGUUACCAAAGGUAUACGAUUAACUUCUUUGAAUACCAGUAAAGCUAGCUAGCUUCCUACAUCGUUGCUUUAACCGAUUUAGUACAUAGAAUAAGUACAAAAUGACCCUCAAGAGCUAAGAGUCACGUAUAGAACCUUUUGAAAGAACUCCAGAUGACAAAGAGGACUUUAUGUGUGUUCUUAAGAGAACCAGUAGGUUAAAAGACUUCUCGUGAGAAAAGACUUGUACAACCUUCACCUUUCCAAACAGUCGUAACAGAUAUGUAACAGAUAUGUCUACUUUCAAACACUGGGAACCCCAUGGGAAAGGGUGUUAAGUUGACUGAUAACUUUAAAACA
rnacentral:rRNA from 1 species